rnacentral:rRNA from 1 species
AACGAACGCUGGCGGCAGGCCUAACACAUGCAAGUCGAACGCACCGCAAGGUGAGUGGCGCACGGGUGAGUAACACGUGGGAAUGUACCCUUUGGUUCGGAAUGACGUUUGGAAACGAACGCUAAUACCGGAUGAGCCCUACGGGGAAAGAUUUAUCGCCAAAGGAGCAGCCCGCGUCUGAUUAGCUAGUUGGUGGGGUAAAGGCCUACCAAGGCGACGAUCAGUAGCUGGUCUGAGAGGAUGAUCAGCCACACUGGGACUGAGACACGGCCCAGACUCCUACGGGAGGCAGCAGUGGGGAAUAUUGGACAAUGGGCGGAAGCCUGAUCCAGCCAUGCCGCGUGAGUGAUGAAGGCCUUCGGGUUGUAAAGCUCUUUCGCACACGACGAUGAUGACGGUAGUGUGAGAAGAAGCCCCGGCUAACUUCGUGCCAGCAGCCGCAGUAAUAC